rnacentral:rRNA from 1 species
AGAGUUUGAUCCUGGCUCAGAACGAACGCUGGCGGCAGGCUUAACACAUGCAAGUCGAACGCACUCUUCGGAGUGAGUGGCAGACGGGUGAGUAACGCGUGGGAACGUACCCUUUGGUUCGGAAUAACCCAGGGAAACUUGGGCUAAUACCGGAUACGCCGGAAACGGGAAAGAUUUAUCGCCGAAGGAUCGGCCCGCGUCGGAUUAGCUAGUUGGUGGGGUAAUGGCCCACCAAGGCGACGAUCCGUAGCUGGUCUGAGAGGAUGAUCAGCCACACUGGGACUGAGACACGGCCCAGACUCCUACGGGAGGCAGCAGUGGGGAAUAUUGGACAAUGGGCGCAAGCCUGAUCCAGCCAUGCCGCGUGAGUGAAGAAGGCCUUAGGGUUGUAAAGCUCUUUCAGCGGGGAAGAUAAUGACGGUACCCGCAGAAGAAGCCCCGGCUAACUUCGUGCCAGCAGCCGCGGUAAUACGAAGGGGGCUAGCGUUGUUCGGAAUUACUGGGCGUAAAGCGCGCGUAGGCGGACAUUUAAGUCAGGGGUGAAAUCCCAGGGCUCAACCCUGGAAUUGCCUUUGAUACUGGAUGUCUGGAGUUCGGGAGAGGUGAGUGGAAUUGCGAGUGUAGAGGUGAAAUUCGUAGAUAUUCGCAGGAACACCAGAAGCGAAGGCGGCUCACUGGCCCGAGACUGACGCUGAGGCGCGAAAGCGUGGGGAGCAAACAGGAUUAGAUACCCUAGUAGUCC